GAAUCUCAAUACCGAUUGCACCCCCACCUUUUCUCAUGGAUCUUGAAAGGGGCUAUUUUGGGGUUUGCCAAACAUGAUUUGAAAUCCAGGAUUUUGGGGUUUGCCAAACAUGAUUUGGAUUGAGAAUCCUGGAUUCCAAUUCCUAACUGCCCAAGAUCCAUGCUGUCAAAAGCGCCACAACUAGAGAUCUUACAAGUGGGACCCAUGUGCUGGUGGUCCAGACUGAUGGAUCCCACCAUGGGUUGGGUAUUGCCCAAUAUCCCCUGCUGGAACAAUACCAACCCUUGGAUCUUUGACCUGAAAAUAGGAGGUUAGCAAAAAAUAAAGCAAGAGUCCACAUUCAUGGGGGGAAAGGGCCAGAUGUUGGAUUCUUAUUGACCUUCCAAACAGCAAAAUCUUUGAGAAUCCCUUACCCACAUUACUGUUCAUUAGUUUCACAAGCCCCACUUUUACAAAUGCAUAUCUUCUACUCAAGGUUCAUGUGUGUUAAUUCUGAUUGAUAUUAGUUUUUUUUUUUCCUGCACCUUUUCAGUUUAUCAUGCCUGCCAUAUUGUGAUGGGAAUGGUGGACAUUUAUUAAACACUUGAAAUUAAAGAAGUAUCCAACUGUCCUAUUUCAACAAGCCUCCAGGAGUUAACAGGGCAUGUUGGUUCAAGCCAAUUUCAUUUUGGGAUAGUGACUUGGUUACAGUGGAUUCCACAAUGCAGUUGGUUUAAUUUGAGUUGAUAUAUGCCAUGCAUGCAAUUUUCAUAUUUCAAUAUAUCAGGAUUCAUACUUUUCCAGAGUAUCAAAUGACUCCCCAUUGCUAUUAUCAUCCUUAUUUUCAGCCUUCUUAUUUGUUGAUUGUUGACAUGUCAGGUACUAUCCCAUCCACCAUUGUAAAACACCAAUUAUUGUUGCGCCUUGUUUACACCUCCGGACUUGGACCGCUAAGAUGGUUAUAGGUUGGAAGUUGGCUAAUUUAAGAACUGAUUGAGGGUCUGUUUGGGACAGAUUUUGAGGUUGGAUGUGUAAUAGGGUUGAAGUUGGGGAAGGAAUGGGGCUGUAGUUUGUACUGUGGACAGAGAUGGGUGUUUAAGGUUGUUUCAGAGUAUGCAGAUUCUGAAGUCUGUUUAUGAUAGAUGGAGAUGCAGUUGCUUUACUCCAAGCUUCAUGAUUAGUAUACAGAGCUGAAGGUUUGCAUGGCUUUUGACACUAGUCUAAUUGUACAAGAAUGAUUGAGGAGUACCUUCUUCUUUUUUCUUUUUUUCCUUUUUUUCAUUUCUUCUCCUAAUGGUCUGGGCUCGGCAUGUUUAGAUGAGAAAGGAAUCUAAGAUUGAGCAGUACAACUGUGAACAGAAAUCAAAGUUUAUGAAUUACGUAUCUGGACAACAAAUAAGGACAAAUAUUGAAGCUGUGGAACAAUCUGCCCAAUUGGGAUUGCAAACACUGUUUGGCUUGACAUGAAUUGAAUGUAAAGAUUAAUGCUAUAAAUGCUGCAACUGAAGCAGUUUGUCUUAUUCUAAGUGUGGAUGAGACUGAAAACACAGGUAAAGUCAACUUGUUAAAGAUGGUGGUUUUUAAAUUUUCUAUUUUUAUUUUUAUAACUUGCCUCAACCUGUCAUUGGUGCUUAUAUAGGUUUCUCUGUUCCAGUUCUUGCAUUAGACCUGGUUCUUCUGGUUACUACGUUGCUCGCUCUCGACAAAUUGCAUUUCUUUGCAUGAGCCCGUUGAAGCACAGCACACGCUGUGAUUUUGCUUCACAUUUGACUUGCAUUGUUAAGGAUCUUCUAGAGUUAUAUGCAAAGGAGCAUCAUAUUCUUGUCAUGAAUAAUCCCCAACAACUGAGAGAGUUGGAAAUCUUUGUUUCAUUCAAGGGAGGAGCUACAAGUAUGACCGUCCUCUGAAGUUUAUGGCAGGCCUAUCGGCUCCAUGAGCACUGUGGAGGUUCAGAUCAUGCCCUGGUGCAGCUCAGGAAGUCUCUUUUCGUAUGAUCAGAAAAUACAAAAAGUAUGUCUUCACUAUUUGCAGAUUGAAGGAAGCAUGUCUUCACUAUUGGCAGGCCUAUUGGCUCCAUGAGCACUGGGGAGGUUCAGAACAUACAAAAAGUAUGUCAAGUCACACCCUCUGUCAUGCAGUACAUUGCCAACCUUGUUGGGAACAAAACUCUAGUUCUGCCCGUGCCUGCAUUUAAUGCCAUCAAUGGAGGAUCACAAGUAGGCAAUAAGCUGGCAAUGCAGGUAUGGUUGAAACAAAUAAUAUGUUAUGAGAAGUGUUGUUGU